rfam:Choanephora cucurbitarum strain KTS-F28377 scaffold_144, whole genome shotgun sequence.
GCGUUCUUAGUUUAAUGGUAGAAUUUCACCCUUCCAAGGUGAAGGCCGGGGUUCGAUUCCCCGAGGACGCA